rnacentral:lncRNA from 1 species
AGGGCUGCACCCAUGGCAUAUGGAGUUUCCCAGGCUAGGGGUUGAAUCAGAGCUACAGCUGCCGGCCUCCACCACAGCCAUAGCCACAGCAGAUCUGAGCCAUGUCUGCGGCCUACACCACAGCUCAAGGCAACGCUGGAUCCUUAACCCACUGAGCGAGGCCAGGGAUCGAACCCAAAACCUCGUGGUUCCUAGUCAGAUUCGUUUCCACUGUGCCACGACAGAAACGCUUUUUCUUUUACUCUUAGCUGGUUCUUUUACUCCAAGUCUGAGGGCUACCCUCUAGAAGCUGGAAACUGGACCUGCAGCAGCCGGCUCUGAGGUCACCUUCCUCUUGCCAUCUUAAGCAGCAUCCCUUGGCCAAGUUCAUGUUCUGUUCCUCUACCUGCAGUGUCACACCUUGGAGCUGCCCCGCUGGAGUUAAAAACAUCACUCUUAGAGAAGGGUCUUCUGUUCCUAAAUAGGCCAGGUCACCCCUGCCUCAGGACCUUUGUACAUGCUGCACUUUCUUCCUGGAAUAUUCUUUCCCUGUAUCUUUGCAUGGCUAUCUGCUUAUUCUGGUCUAGGUCAAGUGUCACCUCUCAGAGAGGCCUUAAGUAGUCCCUGCCCUGAUCCCUCUAGUGGGAUUCACAUUCAGCUAGAUCAUUUUCUUCCCAGAACUCUUUGUUGUCUGUCUCCCAGAGGCCCUGGUCUAUUUUGGUCAUUGCUGUAUCCCCAGCACCUACAUCACUGCCUCGCACAUGGUAGGUGCACAAUAAUUAUUUAUUGAAUGAAUGAAUGACUGAGCUCUUUAACUCUUCAUGGCUACACUGUAAAGCAGGGACAGGAGGGGAAGCAACAGCUCAAGGUCACAAAGCCAGGAAGGGGCAGGAAGGAAGGCGGGGACCAGGUGCCCUGCUUCCAAGCUUCCUGUGGUCCCCAGAUGGGAACAGGGGAGACCUGUGGACCUCUAGGCCCCUUCAGCCACCCAGAAGGGGUCAAGUGUGGAGUGAGGCUCAGGGAACGGCUUCUGAAUGUGGUAAGAGUGAGCCAGCCAGGCAGCCAGGAGGCGGGACUGUUUAUAGGAGCUGGAGACCAUCACCAUGACAACUGGACAGCCUACAGCUUCCAGCUGUCACCAGGGAUGCAGAUUUGCAUUUGGCUAGGAUGCAAUGAGGACAAUGGGGACAGGAAGUGACAGAGGGGUGGGGACCCCAAACACCCAGUCUGGGAGGAGAUUUCUGUUCUGAGAGUUGCCAAAAAACAGAAGGACCUGGUGAUACCACAUAAGUGUGUGUGUGUGUGUGUGUGUGUGUGGAGGAGGAGAGUCUGGGCUAUGUGGAGCCAGGAUGCUGGGUUUGAAUCCCUGCUCUGCCACUUCUGCAUUGUGACAUCUUAUGCAAGUGAUUUAAGUCAGUGCCUUGGUCCCCUCCAAGGUAAACUGGGGAGAGACACAGUCCCUUUUAGGGCUGCUGUGAUGGUUAAGGGAGAUAAUAUUCUUACCUCGCUUAGGAUGUACCUUGCUUGUUUACUAGGUUCUAGAAAUCAACUUACAUCUGACCUUUCGGUUGCCUUCUUUCUGAGUAGUGGGAAAUUUGGUCUCAGUGAUUCUCAGGGGUCCCCACUUCCCUGACUUUUUUUUUUGUCUUUUUAGGGCUGCACUCAUGGCAUAUGGAACUUCCUAAGGUAGGGGUCAAAUCAGAGCUGCAGCUGCCAGCCUACACCACAGCCACAGCAACACCAGAUCUGAGCCACGUCUUCACCCUACACCACAGCUCAUGGCAACGCUGGAUCCUUAACACACUGAGUGAGGCCAGGGAUUGAACCCGCAUCCUCAUGUGAAAAAAGCAGACAAAAAUCUCUGCCUCGCCUGUGUAGCUGGAAUUUUAGCAGGGUAGACAUUAAAUAUGAUAAAAAGUUCACACAACAGGCCAGUAGUUGAAGCUCGAAUUCGAACCCAAGUCUCUCUGCCUCCUGAGCUUUUCUUCCAUUCCACAUUGUUGGGACUCUGGACAAGAGGGUCCUUGGAGAUAAUAGACAAAAGACCUGAGUCGCAUUGUGGCCACUAUUUUGCUGCGUGACCUUGGUCAAGUCCUUUUUCCAACAUGACCUUCAGUUUCUCCAUCUGUAAAAUGGGGAACAUAGUAGUGCCCACCAUCUGGUUGUCAUGAAGCUUAAAUGAAAAAAGCCAGGUAAGUAAAGUGCUUAGGACAGGGCUGGGCAGGUAGCAGUGAACGUGAGUUUUAUGAUCACGGCUGAUUUUUGGAGGAGAGGAAGGGGGUCUGUGGCUUCUUCCUUGCCUGCAGCCACCGUGCUCCGGGCCUCCCCACUGAUCACAGCUUCCCAGCAGCCCUCAGGCGGCACCUUCAUCCAUCUCCUGAUAGAUGCGCAGACCUGGCUCGCUUACCCGGGAAGCAGGCACUUAAGGAGCUGCUUCCCCAGUUUCUCUUUUAAUUUUCAUUAUAUAAAUUUCACAUUUCCUGGAAUAGAGAUCUUGAACGGCUGGACUCAUUUGGAAAUCGAGUCAGCAAAGGCCUCAUUUAUAUUAAUGGGGCCGCUGGUCUGGGUCUCAGGCGGGCAGAGACAAGGAUGGAUGGUAGCAAUUCCCAGCGGAGCUGCUCCAGGCUGAGCUCUCGGACACCGGCUUGGAGGAGCGAAUGCCUCUGGGUUUAGCUGAGAUGAUUCCCGGUUUGGGAGAGGCUCCUGGAUGCAAGGACUGUGCUGUUCCCUGACUUAAACCCCUCUGUGGCUGCCCACUGCUCUCUGAGUAAUCCUGCUUGACCAAGUCCUAUAAGUUGGGUCCCUGCUGAUGCCUGCCACCUCCUAUCUCCUACCCUUCCCCUCACUCAUCCCUCUGCAGCCACGCUGGCCUCCUAAGCGUGUUCCUACCUCAGUGCCUUUGCACUUGCUAUGCCUUCUGCCAGAAGAGCUCUCCCAGCUCUUCUGGUGACUUGCUCUGCCUGUCGGCCAGAUCUUAUCUCACAGUCACCACCUCUGGGGGGGUCUUCCCUGACUGCCUGUCUGGAGUGACACUCCCCAGUCAGCCUAUAUCACCACCUGUUCAUUUUCUGCAUAGCGCUGAGCAGUACAUGUAUCUUCUUGUUUACUAGUGUGUUUUUUCCACAAUUAAAAAAAAAAUUGGAGCAAAAAGAACCUGCAGCUUCUGUCUUUCUCCGGGAUCACUCACUUUGGGGGAAGCCCUCAGCCAUGUCGUGAGGACACUCAAAAAAUGCUGUGGAGAGAUUCAUGUGGGGAAAAAAACCAAUGCCUCCUGCCAAUAGCCCCACACACCUACCUGCCAGCUGCAUGGGGGAGCCAUCUAGGAAGAGGGUCCCCCAGCCCCAGUUUGGCCUUCGGAGGACUAUGGCCCUGGCCAAUAUUUUGACUGCAGCCUCAUGGGAGAGUCUGUUCUAGAACCAGGCAGCUAAAUGACUCCCAAAUCCCUAAGCCGCAGAAACUGGGUGAGAUAAUAAAUGCUGUUCUAAGCU